UGUGUGUGUGUGUGUGUGUGUAUAUAUAUAUAUAUAUAUAUACACGUGUGUGUGUAUAUAUAUAUACACACAUACACAUACACACACACA
rnacentral:miRNA from 1 species